GGUGGGCUAUAGCCUUGGUGGGGGGCGCGGGCGAAGUUCGUCCGCCGGACUCGGAAUGGGGCGAGACUUUGCGCGGGGCCUCGGGGCGCCAAAAAUAAGCCGCGGGCAAAGCUGCGCCCAAAAAUCAGCUCCCGAAGGUCGUGGUGCCAAAACCCCCCAGCGGAAAAAUGGCCAAAAAACGGGUGGGCUAUAGCCUUGGUGGGGGGCGCGGGCGAAGUUCGUCCGCCAGACUCGGAAUGGGGCGAGACUUUGCGAGGGGCCUCGGGGUGCCCGCGGGAAGUCGCGGGCACAGCCGCGUCCAAAAAUAAGCGCCCGAAGGUCGUGGUGCCAAAACCCCCCAGCGGAAAAAUGGCCAAAAAACGGGUGGGCUAUAGCCUUGGUGGGGGGCGCGGGCGAAGUUCGUCCGCCAGACUCGGAAUGGGACGAGACUUUGCGAGGGGCCUCGGGGCACCAAAAAUAAGCCGCGGGCAAAGCCGCGCCCAAAAAUAAGCGCCCGAAGGUCGUGGUGCCAAAACCCCCUAGCGGAAAAAUGGCCAAAAAACGGGUGGGCUAUAGCCUUGGUGGGGGGCGCGGGCGAAGUUCGUCCGCCAGACUCGGAAUGGGGCGAGACUUUGCGAGGGGCCUCGGGGUGCCCGCGGGAAGUCGCGGGCACAGCCGCAUCCAAAAAUAAGCGGCCGAAGGUCGUGGUGCCAAAAUCCCCCAGCGGAAAAUGGCCAAAAAAUGGGUGGGCUAUAGCCUUGGUGGGGGGCGCGGGCGAAGUUCGUCCGCCGGACGCGAAAUGGGGCGAGACUUUGCGAGGGGCCUUGGGGCGCCAAAAAUAAGCCGCGGGCAAAGCCGCGCCCAAAAAUAAGCGCCCGAAGGUCGUGGUGCCAAAACCCCCCAGCGGAAAAAUGGCCAAAAAACGGGUGGGCUAUAGCCUUGGUGGGGGGCGCGGGCGAAGUUCGUCCGCCGGACUCGGAAUGGGGCGAGACUUUGCGCGGGCCCUCGGGGCACCAAAAAUAAGCCGCGGGCAAAGCCGCGCCCAAAAAUAAGUGCCCGAAGGUCGUGGUGCCAAAACCCCCCAGCGGAAAAAUGGCCAAAAAACGGGUGGGCUAUAGCCUUGGUGGGGGGCGCGGGCGAAGUUCGUCCGCCGGACUCGGAAUGGGGCGAGACUUUGCGCGGGGCCUCGGGGCGCCAAAAAUAAGCCGCGGGCAAAGCUGCGCCCAAAAUAAGCUCCCGAAGGUCGUGGUGCCAAAACCCCCCAGCGGAAAAAUGGCCAAAAAACGGGUGGGCUAUAGCCUUGGUGGGGGGCGCGGGCGAAUUUCGUCUGCCAGACUUCGAAUGGGGCGAGACUUUGCGAGGGGCCUCGGGGCACCAAAAAUAGCCGCGGCAAAGCCGCGCCCAAAAAUAAGCGCCCGAAGGUCGUGGUGCCAAAUACCCCCAGCGGAAAAAUGGCCAAAAAACGGGUGGGCUAUAGCCUUGGUGGGGGGCGCGGGCGAAGUUCGUCCGCCGGACUCGGAAUGGGGCGAGACUUUGCGCGGGGCCUCGGGGCGCCAAAAAUAAGCCGCGGGCAAAGCUGCGCCCAAAAAUAAGCUCCCGAAGGUCGUGGUGCCAAAACCCCCCAGCGGAAAAAUGGCCAAAAAACGGGUGGGCUUAGCCUUGUUGGGGGGCGCGGGCGAAGUUCGUCCGCCAGACUCGGAAUGGGGCGAGACUUUGCGAGGGGCCUCGGGGUGCCCGCGGGAAGUCGCGGGCACAGCCGCGUCCAAAAAUAAGUGCCCGAAGGUCGUGGUGCCAAAACCCCCCAGCGGAAAAAUGGCCAAAAAACGGGUGGGCUAUAGCCUUGGUGGGGGGCGCGGGCGAAGUUCGUCCGCCGGACUAGGAAUGGGACGAGACUUUGCGAGGGGCCACGGGGUGCCAAAAAUAAGCCGCGGGCAAAGCCGCGCCCAAAAAUAAGCGCCCGAAGGUCGUGGUGCCAAAACCCCCCAGCGGAAAAAUGGCCAAAAAACGGGUGGGCUAUAGCCUUGGUGGGGGGCGCGGGCGAAGUUCGUCCGCCGGACUCGGAAUGGGGCGAGACUUUGCGAGGGGCCUCGGGGUGCCAAAAAUAAGCCGCGGGCAAGGCCACGCCCAAAAAUAAGUGCCCGAAGGUCGUGGUGCCAAAACCCCCCAGCGGAAAAAUGGCCAAAAAACGGGUGGGCUAUAGCCUUGGUGGGGGGCGCGGGCGAAGUUCGUCCGCCGGACUCCGAAUGGGGCGAGACUUUGCGAGGGGUCUCGGGGUGCCCGCGGGAAGUCACGGGCAUAGCCGUGUCCAAAAAUCAGCGCCCGAAGGUCGUGGUGCCAAAACCCCCCAGCGGAAAAAUGGCCAAAAAACGGGUGGGCUAUAGCCUUGGUGGGGGGCGCGGGCGAAGUUCGUCCGCCGGACUCCGAAUGGGGCGAGACUUUGCGAGGGGUCUCGGGGUGCCCGCGGGAAGUCGCGGGCACAGCCGUGUCCAAAAAUAAGCGCCCGAAGGUCGUGGUGCCAAAACCCCCCAGCGGAAAAAUGGCCAAAAAACGGGUGGGCUAUAGCCUUGGUGGGGGGGCGCGGGCGAAUUUCCUCCGCCGGACUCGGAAUGGGGCGAGACUUUGCGAGGGGCCUCGGGGUGCCCGCGGGAAGUCGCGGGCACAGCCGCGUCCAAAAAUAAGCGCCCGAAGGUCGUGGUGCCAAAACCCCCCAGCCGAAAAAUGGCCAAAAAACGGGUGGGCUAUAGCCUUGGUGGGGGGCGCGGGCGAAGUUCGUCCGCCGGAUGCGAAAUGGGGCGAGACUUUGCGAGGGGCCUCGGGGCGCCAAAAAUAAGCCGCGGGCAAAGCCGCGCCCAAAAAUAAGCGCCCGAAGGUCGUGGUGCCAAAACCCCCCAGCGGAAAAAUGGCCAAAAAACGGGUGGGCUAUAGCCUUGGUGGGGGGCGCGGGCGAAGUUCGUCCGCCGGACUCGGAAUGGGGUGAGACUUUGCGCGGGGCGUCGGGGUGCCAAAAAUAAGCCGCGGGCAAAGCCGCGCCAAAAAAUAAGCGCUCGACGGUCGUGGUGCCAAAACCCCCCAGCGGAAAAAUGGCCAAAAAAUGGGUAGGCUAUAGCCUUGGUGGGGGGCGCUGGCGAAGUUCGUCCGCCGGACUCGGAAUGGGGCGAGACUUUGCGAGGGGCCUCGGGGUGCCCGCGGGAAGUCGCGGGCACAGCCGCGUCCAAAAAUAAGCACCCGAAGGUCGUGGUGCCAAAACCCCCCAGCGGAAAAAUGGCCAAAAAACGGGUGGUCUAUAGCCUUGGUGGGGGGCGCGGGCGAACUUCGUCCGCCGGACUCGGAAUGGGACGAGACUUUGCGCAGAGCCUCGGGGCGCCAACAAUAAGCCGCGGGCAAAGCCGCGCCCAAAAAUAAGCACCCGAAGGUCGUGGUGCCAAAACCCCCCAGCGGAAAAAUGGCCAAAAAACGGGUGGGCUAUAGCCUUGGUGGGGGGCGCGGGCGAAGUUCGUCCGCCGGACUCCGAAUAGGGCGAGACUUUGCGAGGGGUCUCGGGGUGCCCGCGGGAAGUCGCGGGCACAGCCGUGUCCAAAAAUAAGCGCCCGAAGGUCGUGGUGCCAAAACCCCCCAGCGGAAAAAUGGCCAAAAAACGGGUGGGCUAUAGCCUUGGUGGGGGGCGCGGGCGAAGUUCGUCCGCCGGACUCGGAAUGGGACGAGACUUUGCGAGGGGCCUCAGGGUGCCAAAAAUAAGCCGCGGGCAAAGCCGUGCCCAAAAAUAAGCGCCCGAAGGUCGUGGUGCCAAAACCCCCCAGCGGAAAAAUGGCCAAAAAACGGGUGGGCUAUAGCCUUGGUGGGGGGCGCGGGCGAAGUUCCUCCGCCGGACUCGGAAUGGGGCGAGACUUUGCGAGGGGCCUCGGGGUGCCCGCGGGAAGUCGCGGGCACAGCCGCGUCCAAAAAUAAGCGCCCGAAGGUCGUGGUGCCAAAACCCCCCAGCGGAAAAAUGGCCAAAAAACGGGUGGGCUAUAGCCUUGGUGGGGGGCGCGGGCGAAGUUCGUCCGCCGGACGCGAAAUGGGGCGAGACUUUGCGAGGGGCCUCGGGGCGCCAAAAAUAAGCUGCGGGCAAAGCCGCGCCCAAAAAUAAGCGCCCGAAGGUCGUGGUGCCAAAACCCCCCAGCGGAAAAAUGGCCAAAAAACGGGUGGGCUAUAGCCUUGGUGGGGGGUGCAGGCGAAGUUCGUCCGCCGGACUCGGAAUGGGGUGAGACUUUGCGCGGGGCCUCGGGGUGCCAAAAAUAAGCCACGGGCAAAGCCGCGCCCAAAAAUAAGCGCUCGAAGGUCGUGGUGCCAAAACCCACCAGCGGAAAAAUGGCCAAAAAAUGGGUGCCUAUAGCCUUGGUGGGGGGCGCUGGCGAAGUUCGUCCGCCGGACUCGGAAUGGGGCGAGACUUUGCGAGGGGCCUCGGGGUGCCCGCGGGAAGUCGCGGGCACAGCCGCGUCCAAAAAUAAGCACCCGAAGGUCGUGGUGCCAAAACCCCCCAGCGGAAAAAUGGCCAAAAAACGGGUGGGCUAUAGCCUUGGUGGGGGGCGCGGGCGAACUUCGUCCGCCGGACUCGGAAUGGGACGAGACUUUGCGCAGGGCCUCGGGGCGCCAACAAUAAGCCGCGGGCAAAGCCGCGCCCAAAAAUAAGCACCCGAAGGUCGUGGUGCCAAAACCCCCCAGCGGAAAAAUGGCCAAAAAACGGGUGGGCUAUAGCCUUGGUGGGGGGCGCGGGCGAAGCUCGUCCGCCGGACUCGGAAUGGGCCGAGACUUUGCGAGGGGCCUCGGGGUGCCCGCGGGAAGUCGCGGGCACAGCCGCGUCCAAAAAUAAGCGCCCAAAGGUCGUGGUGCCAAAACCCCCAGCGGAAAAAUGGCCAAAAAACGGG
rnacentral:lncRNA from 1 species